AUUGAACGCUAGCGGCAUGCUUUACACAUGCAAGUCGAACGAGUGGCGGACGGGUGAGUAAUAUCUGGGAACGUGCCCAGUGGCGGGGGAUAACUACUGGAAACGGUGGCUAAUACCGCAUACUAUUAGAGCGGCCGAUAUCGGAUUAGCUAGUUGGUGGGGUAAAGGCUCACCAAGGCAACGAUCCGUAGCUGGUUUGAGAGGACGACCAGCCACACUGGGACUGAGACACGGCCCAGACUCCUACGGGAGGCAGCAGUGGGGAAUAUUGCACAAUGGGGGAAACCCUGAUGCAGCCAUCCCGCGUGUAUGAGAAGGCCUUCGGGUUGUAAAGUACUUUCGGCAGAGAAGCGGUAUCCGCAGAAUAAGCACCGGCUAACUACGUGCCAGCAGCCGCGGUAAUAC
rnacentral:rRNA from 1 species